rnacentral:rRNA from 1 species
GUGCUUAACACAUGCAAGUCGAACGAUGAACCACUUCGGUGGGGAUUAGUGGCGAACGGGUGAGUAACACGUGGGCAAUCUGCCCUGCACUCUGGGACAAGCCCUGGAAACGGGGUCUAAUACCGGAUAACAGCCUCCAUCGCAUGGUGGGGGUUUGAAAGCUCCGGCGGUGCAGGAUGAGCCCGCGGCCUAUCAGCUUGUUGGUGAGGUAGUGGCUCACCAAGGCGACGACGGGUAGCCGGCCUGAGAGGGCGACCGGCCACACUGGGACUGAGACACGGCCCAGACUCCUACGGGAGGCAGCAGUGGGGAAUAUUGCACAAUGGGCGAAAGCCUGAUGCAGCGACGCCGCGUGAGGGAUGACGGCCUUCGGGUUGUAAACCUCUUUCAGCAGGGAAGAAGCGAAAGUGACGGUACCUGCAGAAGAAGCGCCGGCUAACUACGU